UGCUGUUGAGACAUGCCGUGAGGAGACUGGUGUGCUGCAGACUCGUGUGUUUCCUGUGUAUUUCAUACAGUGUCUCACCAGGGAUGGCUGAGUGGAGCAGGCGGAGGUGCGGCUGAAGAGGAUGUCGUCCUUGACCAGCACGGCCACGGCCCUCAGGAUGAAGGAGAAGAAGAGGUUGAGGUGGAUGUAGUUCCUGGUGCAGUGGAGCUUCCUGCACGUUAACGCAAUUUCAGCACGUCAACACUAUCCACCCCUGAAAUGUCGUCGGUUAAUCUUUUCACAGCCUUGCGGCAACACUCCCACACACUCAAAAUACUGACAACUGCAAGCUAUAAUAGCUCAUCUAUGGUGGAUGAACAAAGUUCUCCUCCAGGCGACAAGAAGUUUAAGAUUUUGGAGGAUGCUGAGACAAGAUAAACUGCUAAAGAGUCUUUAUAAUAUACAACGUUUGCUAAUCCAAUCAAGAAACAGGCCGUUGCAUUUGUAGCGCACAUCAACCAAAAUAUGGACGUUAACCAAUGAGAGGCUGCUUGGAUGGCCCAAAUCUUCAUUCUUCAUCUUAGCAAUGAUGUGCUAAAGCUUCCAACUUUGUGGAAACGCUUAAAAAAAAGACACUUUUCUAUUCCCACUGCACAAAACAAUGUUCAUAAAGGCAAGCUUAAAGGAGUUUGGUGAGGAAGAACUAACUACAACAGGUUGUAGAAAGUCUUUUUUAGAAGAGUGGAAGGUGUUCUAGAUAUACAGUAGAAUUAAUUUACUUUUCACUUAUCUGUUCCAAUGCUUUGGUCCAUACAGUUUAAAAGGUGCAAUAACAUUUUUAAAAGUGCAAAUAAAUUUAAGGGGGACUUUUAAGGUUUUGGUUGUUCUUGUAAAGAAGCAUACAUUGAUUCAAUGAAAGGCUGUGAGGAUGAAUGUAUUCCUUUGACA